UACAGGGGGGGGCAAGCGUUGUUCGGAAUUACUGGGCGUAAAGGGCUCGUAGGCGGCCGGCUAAGUCCGACGUGAAAUCCCUCGGCUUAACCGGGGAACUGCGUCUGAUACUGGAUGGCUUGAGUUCGGGAGAGGGAUGCGGAAUUCCCAGUGUAGCGGUGAAAUGCGUAGAUAUUGGGAGGAACACCAGUGGCGAAGGCGGCUCACUGGACCGGUACUGACGCUGAGGCGCGAAAGCGUGGGGAGCAAACAGG
rnacentral:rRNA from 1 species